rnacentral:rRNA from 1 species
UUGAACGCUGGCGGCAGGCCUAACACAUGCAAGUCGAGCGGAUGAAGGGAGCUUGCUCCUGGAUUCAGCGGCGGACGGGUGAGUAAUGCCUAGGAAUCUGCCUGGUAGUGGGGGAUAACGUCCGGAAACGGGCGCUAAUACCGCAUACGUCCUGAGGGAGAAAGUAGGGGAUCUUCGGACCUCACGCUAUCAGAUGAGCCUAGGUCGGAUUAGCUAGUUGGUGGGGUAAAGGCCUACCAAGGCGACGAUCCGUAACUGGUCUGAGAGGAUGAUCAGUCACACUGGAACUGAGACACGGUCCAGACUCCUACGGGAGGCAGCAGUGGGGAAUAUUGGACAAUGGGCGAAAGCCUGAUCCAGCCAUGCCGCGUGUGUGAAGAAGGUCUUCGGAUUGUAAAGCACUUUAAGUUGGGAGGAAGGGCAGUAAGUUAAUACCUUGCUGUUUUGACGUUACCAACAGAAUAAGCACCGGCUAACUUCGUG